GCGGCUGUCAUGGUGACAAACGCCAUGCUGCGAAAAAGAGCAAGUGCACCCAGGUAUCCGGGAAAGCCAGCGCUUCCGGGAGGAGGAGGAGCCAAGCUGUGGGUACAGGGGGUGGGUGCACAGGAGACUGAUCGGACAACAGGCACAGUAGCUACAAGUCUCUCCUGGGACUACCGAGGAGGCACAAGAACGACCAGGAAAGCAGAAACCUGUUCAGAAGCUCACCUAUUUUUUCAGGCUGCAUUAUUCAGUCGAUUCCAUUUCUACCCUAGCUGACAUGAUUCAGUUAUUUAGCUUUCAACAGCUCUCCAGUUUGCUUUUUCAGCAAUCUGGUUGCUAGGGUCCA